rnacentral:tRNA from 3 species
AGGGGUAUAGCUCAGUUGGUAGAGCAGUGGUCUCCAAAACCACGUGCCUGAGGUUCGAGUCCUCAUACCCCUGCCA